GGGGUCGUGGCCUAGUCCGGCAUGGCGACGGGCUCCAACGGUCUUUGCGUGUGAUGAACAAUGGGUCUGCUGAUUUGAUGAUGAUCCGUUGGAGCGCUGAUGUAAUAACCAAUUGAUGAGUUUCAGCGUGUGAGCAUGCAUAUUCGGAGAGACCCGUCGAUCGUGAGUUCAAAUCUCACCGACCCCA
rnacentral:tRNA from 1 species